GGUAGAGAGAGGAAAACGGGGGAAAGAGGUAUUUAUGACUGUCAUAAACCUACCCCCAGGUCAACGUCAUGACAGGGGUAUACUACAAAACAAGAUCAAGAAGUUAGCCAGCUAACUUGUCUAAAUAUUCUAAAAUCACUUAUUUUUUUGAAAGAUGAGCUUGAAAUGGGUAUGGUUGAAUUGACCCAACAGCAAAAAAACACAUCUAGGUGGAUCUUUCAUAAUGAACCAGAAAAUGGACAGUUAUUUCUGUAUAUAUUUAUCAAAGUUAGCUGGCUAACUCCUUGAUCCUGCUUUGUAGUAUACCCCUCAGGUCCCUGUGGACAAACAGAGGCUGAUCUACAGGGGUAGGCAGCUUGAAGAUGGCAAGACACUGGAACACUGACAUCAAAAAAGGCCCUAAAUGAGACCUAUUUGGAGAAAGCAGACAAACUCUACUCCCUAAUGACUGCCGUAACAGACAAGUGUGUGUUUGUCAAUGGUGAGAACACCAAGGUGCGCGUGUCAGAGCUGGAGGAGGAAGUGAGGGCGCUGAAGAAGGUCAACAAGGACCUGUAUGACUUCUCCACACAGCUCCUCACCAAGCCCAGCUAGAAAAGAGCCUGGCCAUGGUUCCCCGUCCCACCAGCAGGGACUCUACUGGGGAGAUGACACUGCAAGCCCCCUUCACCACAGACCGGUAGGCUAGGGAAAGAUGUUAGUAUGUGUCAUUCAUAUAGUUUAUUUUGUAAGGGAGAGCGUACAUUCAACAGGACCUGGGGUGCAAAAGUUGUAUCAUGGACCAUAUUGCCUUUGUCAUGAUCCCUGACCAUAUUUUGGAUAAAGGAUUUAAUUUAAAUUGACAUGAAGAAAACAUGUUCACCUUUUUUAGUGCUACACAUGUUCAGUGUUAGCCACAGGAUAAUCAAAGUUGUGUAGUGCAGCCAGACUCAGCAGCAUAAUUGAUCUUAGCCCUAUAUUGACUUAACAGAAGCUCCAGUCCCUUGACAACCUCAAUUUACAGCCCUGUUCCUUUACACUCAUCACCACUGCCUUUAAGCCCCAAAAUUCCAUCAGCCAAAAACGGGUAUAACAGGAUCCAGUUAUUGCCCUCUGACUUUUUGUCCUCUGUCAUCCGGCUAACCCAGUAAGAAUCCCAAACUUAAGGUUAAGGUUAGGGCUCUACAGUGCGACCAUUUUACUGCGCCUAAAUAUUUUGCUGUGCGACCUGGAAUUUGUAUUUUAUGAGCACCAGUGUGCCCAGAAAAAUGUAGGAUUCUAGCUUUAAUAUCUGAAAUGUUUUUCAUUGUGCUCUUAAAUUUCUUUGUGCGCCUACAUUUUUCUACUACACCUAAUAGAUUGGAUGGAUUUGUGUGACAAUUACCUGUUGUGCCCCCAGGUGUUUAGCAUCGACGAGAAUGUUCAUUUCUGUCACAAAAUGGGUACAGUUUGAUCGCCAUGGUUGGUAGGUACCCUUCACGCUAUCUCUCAAGCAGAACUUUAAACCUCUCAUUAAAAUAGAAAGAAAAUGGUGGUGUUAAAUAGGGAACAGUGGAGUGUUUGAUUUACCCUGUGGAACUAGCCAGAAGUCUGUGAGUUUUGUUUUUCAGCUUACACUACCUGUAGAAAACAUGGAUUUGGUUGUGUAGAGCUGCUGGGCAGUGUACAACUGCAGAAUGGUUUUCUUUUCAGAAUCCUUCAAAAAGAAACGCACAAUUAACCGCUGUCAAAAAGGGAAGAGUUUGAGCUCUGAAAUCGCCCUUCCUCUCAUCACUGCUAAUUCUCCACUGUGGGCACUACGUUAGAGGCAGCCACAUAGAAACAGCUGUUGAUUUUAUCCUCUUUUUCUCAGUUGCCCAGCUUUGAUGAGAUCUAAAAAAUGAAAUAGAAAAUCAAAAAGGGUCCUGUAUUUGUGUGUGCCUCUUCGGUAGAGAGGGAACUGCCAAGAACAGCAGCCCUCCUGUGUAGAGAAAGCCAUGGCUUUAGAACUUCACCAAGGAGAGAGAUGACUUACACACACCCCAACGUUGACUCCAAUUAACUCACUGUUGGGGGGUGGGGAUCAGGUCAGCGAGAUGGAGCUAUUGAGGACCUUGAUCACAGAUUAAUCGGAGAGUCCAAGGGUGAAGAGUGUUCAGUGGGGGGAUUACGUGUUCCAGUAAUGAAGACAACAAUACCAACUGGAUUUGUACUUUUUUGUUGUUGUUGUGUAUUCUCCACAAUAAAUGUUUUUAUAUCUUUCUGAGAACAUGGGA